rnacentral:rRNA from 1 species
UACGUAGGGUGCGAGCGUUAAUCGGAAUUACUGGGCGUAAAGCGUGCGCAGGCGGCUUCGCAAGUCAGACGUGAAAUCCCCGGGCUUAACCUGGGAAUGGCGUUUGAAACUACGGAGCUGGAGUGUGGCAGAGGGAGGUAGAAUUCCACGUGUAGCGGUGAAAUGCGCAGAUAUCAGGAGGAACACCAAUGGCGAAGGCAGCUCGCUGGGACGGUACUGACGCUGAGGCGCGAAAGCGUGGGGAGCAAACAGG